CGGUCGGCAAAGUCCGGAGGAAGGUGGGGAUGACGUCAAAUCAUCAUGCCCCUUAUGACCUGGGCUACACACGUGCUACAAUGGGCGGUACAAAGGGUCGCGAACCCGCGAGGGGGAGCCAAUCCCAAAAAGCCGCUCUCAGUUCGGAUUGCAGGCUGCAACUCGCCUGCAUGAAGCCGGAAUCGCUAGUAAUCGCGGAUCAGCAUGCCGCGGUGAAUACGUUCCCGGGCCUU
rnacentral:rRNA from 1 species